rnacentral:rRNA from 1 species
AACGUAGGUACCGAGCGUUAUCCGGAUUUACGGGGAGUAAAGCGCGUUCAGGCGGUUUGGCAAGUCGGGCAUGAAAUCUCUCGGCUCAACCGGGAGAGGUUGUCCGAUACUUCCAGACUUGAGGGCAGUAGAGGGUGGUGGAAUUCCGGGUGUAGUGGUGAAAUGCGCAGAUAUCAGGAGGAACACCGGUGGCGAAGGCGGGUCUCUGGGCAACAACUGACGCUGAGGAGCGAAAUCGUGGGGAGCGAACAGG